CUUAGGGAUAAGGGGUGCCACCAUCAGGUGGCCGCAGAGAAUAGGCCCAAGCGACUGUUUACCAAAAACAUAGGUUUCUGCUAAGUCGCAAGACGAUGUAUAGGAGCUGACGCCUGCCCGGUGCUGGCAGGUUAAGGGGAUCUGUUAGAGCAAUCGAAGCAGUGAACUUAAGCCCCAGUAAACGGCGGCCGUAACUAUAACGGUCCUAAGGUAGCGA
rnacentral:rRNA from 1 species